GGCCGGGCCGGGGCCGGAGCAGUGGGUCGCAGGAGCCGCGGGGCGGGGGUGGGGGAGAGGGACGUGGCCCCGCCGAGGGAAGCGGCCCGCGCGUCCGACUCCGGGGCGGGGGUGGUGGGGAGGCGGCACCGGGCGAGAACUGCGUCCUGCGUGGGAGACCAUCCCGUGGUCGCGCGGGAGGGGUGAGCCUGCGAGGUCUCGCCUUAGUGCCCACCGGGACCCCUCUCGUUUUACAGAAGGGGAAACUGAGGCCGAGAGCGGGUACCCCAAGGCCACCCUCCAACCCAGAACCAGGACUCGGGGCCACUAGGCUUUCUAUCUUUCCACGGUAGAAAUCUCAAAUCUCCAAUCGGUAGAGUUUGUUUUUUAAUACGCCUCGGACACAAUAGACCCAGAAGCGGCACCCUGAGGAAAAUGCCAAGAACUCUCUGGAGUUUGGGCUGCAGAUGGGCUGUGGGAGUGUGAGCCCAGCCGCGGUGCGGCUCCAGAGGUGCUGAUGGGGAGUUUCACUCGCAGGAAACCGCUUCUCCGGAGCACAGCCUUGGUUGGCAGGCAGCGGAGCGUUGGUCUGUAGAAUCCAUGUCAAGGGACGAUUCCCGUUAGGACAGCAGGUUGGGGUAUCAGUCAAGAACAAGGAGCCACGAUCAGAUUUAUAUUUUUAAAAAAACACUUUCCUAGUAAUGUGGCCUCUUACACUCAGGGGUGGGGGUGCGGGGGAUCGCUGAUGCCCUCUAAGGGAACGCUCCCGUGGUUUGAAGCCAUUGUGCUCCGUGAACACCAGCGAUUCCUGAGUCUGAGACGGAAGGGGUGGAGGGACACGCAGAAGCAGCCAACAAAAUGGCCCUCACAGAGAUGUGCUCACAUGGUGGCUGCUAUGAUGUUCUUACUACCAGUCCUGCCUGAUGUUGCAUCUUUGAAUAUUUGUUAUCUAAGGGGCGAAAAUUGUUUUGGAAGCUGAGUCCGAAGUGCCGUCUUAUACACGCAGUGAUCUCCUUUCCCCAGUCCUUCAGUUCAGCUAACAAAAUCCUGCUGUGAUCCUUCAGGAUAAACAACACAGGACCUUGAAGUUUGGUUGUUGGACUUACACCCAUAAUUCACCAUCAGCUGUACAGUAUUUUUAUAAGAGAUAAUAUGGGUUUGUACCAUUUGUGAUAAUAUAGGUUUGUAACAUAUAAACAACAAUAUGGGUUUGCAACAUUAAAAUAAGGGAAAAUUUCAUCUGUAUGUUUUAUUACCUUCACAGAAUCGUAAAAGAGUUACAUAUCUAAAAACAUUAAGGGGCACCUGGGUGGCUCAGUGGGUU